GUACAAGGGUCCACUGAACCAUUUUAUCUUUUUUAUAUGGAUAUAUAUAAGUCGGAAUCAAGUAUAGUUACCGAAUUAUCAUAUUAUAAAAUAUUGAAACCGAAUUUAAAAAUACCGAAUCAUACUAAACUAAUUUGAUAUGAUAAUGGUGUUGUUCUAUCGAAAAUCAAAAUUACCAUAUCCAAUUUUAAAAUAUCAUACCACACCAUGCUCACCCCGAGCUUUCUAUUUUCCCUAAUUAUUCUAAAAGAGAAAACGAUUGUCACGUUCUAGGGUUCGGUGGCUGAUCAUAUUUUGACAGUUUACAUAGAGAAGGAUUUCAAAUCUUCAAAGAUGAUAAGAAUCUGAAAAAAGGUGACAUGAUCUCAAUAGGACUAGAGAAAGGAAUCGAAAAUUGAAGAAUUUCCAUUGCUGUUUUGUCAACAAAAUAUGUUUCUCCUCAUUGGUGUCAACAAAAAUCAAUGCCUCUAGGGUUCUUCUGAAAAAAAUCAAUCUAGGGUUCUUUUUUGGAGUGAUGAUCAGCAAUGUUGGAAGGUUCAAUCAAUUCACUUGAAACUCAGAAUUCGAGAAGAUGCUAUUUUGGAUUCAAUGCUCUAAAUUUGAUGGCUUGGACUGAUUUGAAUGUUGGGAGAAGAUUCCAUAAAUGUCCCAGGCCUAAAGUUAAUUCAUGUGGAUAUUGGGAAUGGCAAGACAAACAACAGCUACCACUAAGAGCGGUAGCUGUCGGUAGCUGUCAUAUUGGAGCUAAUAGGUAAAUUGGAUAAUAUGAAAGUUGAAAGAAACAAAUUGAAAAGCAUAGUAGAUGGAAUGGAAGGGGUGAAAGGGAUGAUUUGACGGAAACAAUUGAAGAAUUGAAUUUUGUUAAUCUCCAAAAAGCUUCUGAGAUUAGACUUGUACGGGAGAAGGUUGAGGAAUGAAGUUAUAUUAGCCCAAGAAGCUGGCAAAGUUCUAAUUUUGGAGAAGAAAAUUAAGAAGGUAAAAAUUGUCAUUUUCAUGUCAUGUGCUUUGUUCUGUGUGCGUUUUAGGAAUCACGAAGUGAAGUUCGUAUCUAAGCUAGGACAACCUAUGUUGAAGUGAAUCUAUUUUGUUGGUUGUAAUGAAGUAGAAGUGUUUGUAUUAUGUUAAUGAAAAUGAAGUUGAAGUGUUUGUAAUGAAGUGAAUGACUUAUGUUGUUAAUGAAGUUGAGGUUGGAAUUUUA